rnacentral:rRNA from 1 species
UACGAAGGGUCCAAGCGUUAUCCGGAUUUAUUGGGUUUAAAGGGUGCGUAGGCGGCUUAUUAAGUCAGUGGUGAAAGCCUUCAGCUCAACUGAAGAACUGCCAUUGAUACUGAUGAGCUUGAGUAUAUUUGAGGCCGGCGGAAUGUGUCAUGUAGCGGUGAAAUGCUUAGAUAUGACACAGAACACCGAUUGCGAAGGCAGCUGGCUAAACUAUAACUGACGCUGAUGCACGAAAGCGUGGGGGAGCAAACAGG